CCUACGGGAGGCAGCAGUGGGGAAUAUUGGACAAUGGGCGCAAGCCUGACCCAGCAACGCCGCGUGAAUGAAGAAGGCUUUCGGGUUGUAAACUUCUUUUGUCAGGGAAGAGUAGAAGACGGUACCUGACGAAUAAGCCACGGCUAACUACGUGCCAGCAGCCGCGGUAAUACGUAGGUGGCAAGCGUUGUCCGGAUUUACUGGGCGUAAAGGGCGUGUAGCCGGGUUGACAAGUCAGAUGUGAAAUCCUUCGGCUUAACCGGAGAACUGCAUUUGAAACUGUUGAUCUUGAGUACUGGAGAGGGAGACGGAAUUCCUAGUGUAGCGGUGAAAUGCAUAGAUAUAAGAAAGAACACCGAUGGCGAAGGCGUCUAACGAAUCCGCGACUGACGCUGAGGUACGAAAGCGUGGGUAGCAAACAGGAUUAGAUACCCGAGUAGUC
rnacentral:rRNA from 1 species